rnacentral:rRNA from 1 species
GCAGUGAGGAAUAUUGGACAAUGGGUGAGAGCCUGAUCCAGCCAUCCCGCGUGAAGGACGACGGUUCUAUGGAUUGUAAACUUCUUUUAUACUGGGAUAAACCUACUUACGUGUAAGUAGCUGAAGGUACAGUAUGAAUAAGCACCGGCUAACUCCGUGCCAGCAGCCGCGGUAAUACGGAGGGUGCAAGCGUUAUCCGGAUUUAUUGGGUUUAAAGGGUCCGUAGGCGGAUCUGUAAGUCAGUGGUGAAAUCUCACAGCUUAACUGUGAAACUGCCAUUGAUACUGCAGGUCUUGAGUAAAGUAGAAGUGGCUGGAAUAAGUAGUGUAGCGGUGAAAUGCAUAGAUAUUACUUAGAACACCAAUUGCGAAGGCAGGUCACUAUGUUUUAACUGACGCUGAUGGACGAAAGCGUGGGGAGCGAACAGGAUUAGA